AUACGUAGGGGGCGAGCGUUAUCCGGAAUUAUUGGGCGUAAAGAGUACGUAGGUGGUUGCGUAAGCGCAAGGUGAAAGACCGAGGCUUAACUUCGGUGAGCCUUGUGAACUGCGUGACUUGAGUGCAGGAGGGGAAAGUGGAAUUCCUAGUGUAGCGGUGAAAUGCGUAGAUAUUAGGAGGAACGCCAGUGGCGAAGGCGACUUUCUGGACUGUAACUGACACUGAGGUACGAAAGCGUGGGGAGCAAACAGGAUUAGAUACCCUGGUAGUCCACGCCGUAAACGAUGAGCACUAGGUGUUGGCGUAGAAAUACGUCGGUGCCGAAGUUAACGCAUUAAGUGCUCCGCCUGGGGAGUACGCACGCAAGUGUGAAACUCAAAUGAAUUGGCGGGG
rnacentral:rRNA from 1 species